CCAGUCGGUCAGGUCCGUAUACUACCAGUUCCCUUUCAGACCGGGACGAACACGAAAUACUUUACCGAUUUACUUGUUCAAUCCGAUCCCGAUUCCAGAACGAUACCGUUUCUCAUAGUACCAGUUCCAUCCCGAUUUCGGAACUUACCAGUCCGGUUCACAUGAUUUCGAUAUUGCCGCCAGUCAUAGUUACAAUCAGAUUCAUAUCAUGGUGAUUCCAAACUAUGACCAGCAAAAAUCAUACCCCAAUAGAAAGCUACGAAUUUCAAGGAAGCAGCCAUUAACGGUGGCCUCGAAGCUCUGCCAUUUUUCUGCGUCAACUCUGAGCUACAGCUACACGCAACCACACCGGAACGACGGUAAAAAAAAAUAUAAAGCUCUAGACUCCGACUCCGGUGAAUGACCUGCUGCCGCAACAUUAAAUUCGGUGAGCUCCUGAUGGUACCUAGAUGUGCUUAUCCUUGAAAUUAUUCGAAUGUAGUUUGAAUCAUACUUUUUAGUCAAUAUUUUGUAUAUAUUGACGCUAGACAAACUUUGGAUUGUUUCUAAUAUUUUCUUAUUUUAUUAUUUGUACAUGUUGAAUGUUUA